rnacentral:rRNA from 1 species
AUGCUGAAGCACUUGGAUCUCAAAGACGACGAGCUGGACGACGUGAUCGUGGGGGAAGAGGAAACGAAGAAGUACGCGGCAGAUGCGCGCUGGCUAGCAAUUGGGAAGGUCAACACGACUCGAUAGUUCAGUUCAUCGUCGAUGUUCGAGACGAUGAAAUCGAUCUGGGGAUUAUCUCAAGUGCCAAAGUACAGAGAAGCGGGAGAAAAUCUUUACAUCUUCCAGAUGUUCUGCCUAGGAGAUUGGAAAAAAGUAGUUCAUGGAGGACCCUGGUUGUUUCGGGGGAUGGGUAUGCUCAUCGAGGAUUAUGAUGGAAAGCAGGAUCCUGAAUCUUUCGUCUUUGAUGGCCUGUACGUUUGGGCGCAGAUCCACGGCAUACCUGAACUGUACCGCAAGAUAGAAGUGGUUGAUCAAUUAGCCCGGCGUAUUGGCCGAGUUAAGGAAACACAACUCUCACCUAGGCUUUUCUACGAAGGUGAC